rnacentral:rRNA from 1 species
AGCGAACGCUGGCGGCAGGCUUAACACAUGCAAGUCGAACGGGCUUCUUCGGCAGUCAGUGGCAGACGGGUGAGUAACACGUGGGAACGUGCCCUUCGGUUCGGAAUUACUCAGGGAAACUUGAGCUAAUACCGGAUACGCACAUCUGGGGAAGGGUGUACUGCCGAAGGAUCGGCCCGCGUCUGAUUAGCUUGGUGGUGGGGGAACGGCCUACCAAGGCGACGAUUAGUAGCUGGUCUGAGAGGAUGAUCAGCCACGCUUGGACUGAGACACGGCCCAGACUCCGACGGGAGGCAGCAGUGGGGAAUAUUGGACAAUGGGCGCAAGCCUGAUCCAGCCAUGCCGCGUAAGUGAUGAAGGCCUUAGGGUUGUAAAGCUCUUUUUUCCGGGACGAUAAUGACGGUACCGGAAGAAUAAGCCCCGGCUAACUACGUG